rnacentral:snoRNA from 1 species
CUGGCCCUGAAUCAAGGCUGGUGGCUUGCCGUAGCCCCUGGUUUCAAGCAGGAGCCCAGAGAAGUGUCUUCCUAUGGUCUGUUGGCUGUUCCAUAUCUGCUUACUGGAAUGGUCAAUUCAGUUGGAAGCAACACUA